CACGGGGGGAGCAAGCGUUGUUCGGAAUCACUGGGCGUAAAGGGCGCGUAGGCGGCGCGGUAAGCGUGCGGUGAAAGCCCGGGGCUCAACCCCGGGUCGGCCGUGCGGACUGCCGGGCUGGAGCACUGUAGAGGCAGGUGGAAUUCCGGGUGUAGCGGUGGAAUGCGUAGAGAUCCGGAAGAACACCGGUGGCGAAGGCGGCCUGCUGGGCAGUAGCUGACGCUGAAGCGCGACAGCGUGGGGAGCAAACAGG
rnacentral:rRNA from 1 species